GGGAGGGUGACCACCUGGGAACACCGCGUUCUGUUGGCAUGUCAACGGCCAUACCAUGCCGAAAAUACCGGUUCUCGUCCGA
rnacentral:rRNA from 1 species